rnacentral:rRNA from 1 species
AGAGUUUGAUCAUGGCUCAGGACGAACGCUGGCGGCGCGCCUAACACAUGCAAGUCGAACGGAGUCAAGAGGAGCUUGCUUUCUUGACUUAGUGGCGAACGGGUGAGUAACGCGUGAGUAACCUGCCCCGAAGUGGGGGACAACAGUUGGAAACGACUGCUAAUACCGCAUAAGCCCACGGAUUCGCAUGGAUCUGCGGGAAAAGGAUUUAUUCGCUUCAGGAUGGACUCGCGUCCAAUUAGCUAGUUGGUGAGGUAACGGCCCACCAAGGCGACGAUUGGUAGCCGGACUGAGAGGUUGAACGGCCACAUUGGGACUGAGACACGGCCCAGACUCCUACGGGAAGCAGCA